GAAAUCUAAAAGAAAGUAGGUCUUAUUUGAUUCCAGCAUCUCCCGAAUAUCUCUCGAUUCGAGCCAAUUUUCGGCAUCCGAAAUCGAGCGGAGUUUUUCGCGGGCUUGGCUGGAUUCAAAUUUA
ensembl:snoRNA Y48A6C.10 ncRNA